UCCGUCGCAGGAUGUAUCUUU
rnacentral:piRNA from 1 species